rnacentral:rRNA from 1 species
GACGAACGCUGGCGGCGUGCCUAAUACAUGCAAGUAGAACGCACAGUUUAUACCGUAGCUUGCUACACCAUAAACUGUGAGUUGCGAACGGGUGAGUAACGCGUAGGUAACCUGCCUGGUAGCGGGGGAUAACUAUUGGAAACGAUAGCUAAUACCGCAUAAUAUUGAUUAUUGCAUGAUAAUUGAUUGAAAGAUGCUAUUGCAUCACUACCAGAUGGACCUGCGUUGUAUUAGCUAGUAGGUGAGGUAACGGCUCACCUAGGCGACGAUACAUAGCCGACCUGAGAGGGUGAUCGGCCAAACUGGGACUGAGACACGGCCCAGACUCCUACGGGAGGCAGCAGUAGGGAAUCUUCGGCAAUGGACGAAAGUCUGACCGAGCAACGCCGCGGGAGUGAAGAAGGGUUUCGGAUCGUAAAGCUCUGUUGUAAGAGAAGAACGGGUGUGAGAGUGGAAAGUUCACACUGUGACGGUAGCUUAACAGAAAGGGACGGCUAACUACGUG